AUAGGGUCAAGUGAAUAAGUGCAUCAGGCGGAUGCCUUGGCGAUGAUAGGCGACGAAGGACGUGUAAGCCUGCGAAAAGCGCGGGGGAGCUGGCAAUAAAGCUAUGAUUCCGCGAUGUCCGAAUGGGGAAACCCACUGCAUUCUGUGCAGUAUCCUAAGUUGAAUACAUAGGCUUAGAGAAGCGAACCCGGAGAACUGAACCAUCUAAGUACCCGGAGGAAAAGAAAUCAACCGAGAUUCCGCAAGUAGUGGCGAGCGAACGCGGAGGAGCCUGUACGUAAUAACUGUCGAGAUAGAAGAACAAGCUGGGAAGCUUGACCAUAGCGGGUGACAGUCCCGUAUUCGAAAUCUCAACAGCGGUACUAAGCGUACGAAAAGUAGGGCGGGACACGUGAAAUCCUGUCUGAAUAUGGGGGGACCAUCCUCCAAGGCUAAAUACUCAUCAUCGACCGAUAGUGAACCAGUACCGUGAGGGAAAGGCGAAAAGAACCCCGGGAGGGGAGUGAAACAGAACCUGAAACCUGAUGCAUACAAACAGUGGGAGCGCCCUAGUGGUGUGACUGCGUACCUUUUGUAUAAUGGGUCAACGACUUACAUUCAGUAGCGAGCUUAACCGGAUAGGGGAGGCGUAGGGAAACCGAGUCUUAAUAGGGCGAUGAGUUGCUGGGUGUAGACCCGAAACCGAGUGAUCUAUCCAUGGCCAGGUUGAAGGUGCCGUAACAGGUACUGGAGGACCGAACCCACGCAUGUUGCAAAAUGCGGGGAUGAGCUGUGGGUAGGGGUGAAAGGCUAAACAAACUCGGAGAUAGCUGGUUCUCCCCGAAAACUAUUUAGGUAGUGCCUCGAGCAAGACACUGAUGGGGGUAAAGCACUGUUAUGGCUAGGGGGUUAUUGCAACUUACCAACCCAUGGCAAACUCAGAAUACCAUCAAGUGGUUCCUCGGGAGACAGACAGCGGGUGCUAACGUCCGUUGUCAAGAGGGAAACAACCCAGACCGCCGGCUAAGGUCCCAAAUGAUAGAUUAAGUGGUAAACGAAGUGGGAAGGCACAGACAGCCAGGAUGUUGGCUUAGAAGCAGCCAUCAUUUAAAGAAAGCGUAAUAGCUCACUGGUCGAGUCGUCCUGCGCGGAAGAUGUAACGGGGCUCAAAUCUAUAACCGAAGCUGCGGAUGCCGGUUUACCGGCAUGGUAGGGGAGCGUUCUGUAGGCUGAUGAAGGUGCAUUGUAAAGUGUGCUGGAGGUAUCAGAAGUGCGAAUGUUGACAUGAGUAGCGAUAAAGCGGGUGAAAAGCCCGCUCGCCGAAAGCCCAAGGUUUCCUACGCAACGUUCAUCGGCGUAGGGUGAGUCGGCCCCUAAGGCGAGGCAGAAAUGCGUAGUCGAUGGGAAACAGGUUAAUAUUCCUGUACUUGAUUCAAAUGCGAUGUGGGGACGGAGAAGGUUAGGUUGGCAAGCUGUUGGAAUAGCUUGUUUAAGCCGGUAGGUGGAAGACUUAGGCAAAUCCGGGUUUUCUUAACACCGAGAAGUGAUGACGAGUGUCUACGGACACGAAGCAACCGAUACCACGCUUCCAGGAAAAGCCACUAAGCUUCAGUUUGAAUCGAACCGUACCGCAAACCGACACAGGUGGGCAGGAUGAGAAUUCUAAGGCGCUUGAGAGAACUCGGGAGAAGGAACUCGGCAAAUUGAUACCGUAACUUCGGGAGAAGGUAUGCCCUCUAAGGUUAAGGACUUGCUCCGUAAGCCCCGGAGGGUCGCAGAGAAUAGGUGGCUGCGACUGUUUAUUAAAAACACAGCACUCUGCCAACACGAAAGUGGAUGUAUAGGGUGUGACGCCUGCCCGGUGCCGGAAGGUUAAUUGAAGAUGUGCAAGCAUCGGAUCGAAGCCCCGGUAAACGGCGGCCGUAACUAUAACGGUCCUAAGGUAGCGAAAUUCCUUGUCGGGUAAGUUCCGACCCGCACGAAUGGCGUAACGAUGGCCACACUGUCUCCUCCCGAGACUCAGCGAAGUUGAAGUGGUUGUGAAGAUGCAAUCUACCCGCUGCUAGACGGAAAGACCCCGUGAACCUUUACUGUAGCUUUGCAUUGGACUUUGAAGUCACUUGUGUAGGAUAGGUGGGAGGCUUGGAAGCAGAGACGCCAGUCUCUGUGGAGUCGUCCUUGAAAUACCACCCUGGUGUCUUUGAGGUUCUAACCCAGACCCGUCAUCCGGGUCGGGGACCGUGCAUGGUAGGCAGUUUGACUGGGGCGGUCUCCUCCCAAAGCGUAACGGAGGAGUUCGAAGGUUACCUAGGUCCGGUCGGAAAUCGGACUGAUAGUGCAAUGGCAAAAGGUAGCUUAACUGCGAGACCGACAAGUCGGGCAGGUGCGAAAGCAGGACAUAGUGAUCCGGUGGUUCUGUAUGGAAGGGCCAUCGCUCAACGGAUAAAAGGUACUCCGGGGAUAACAGGCUGAUUCCGCCCAAGAGUUCAUAUCGACGGCGGAGUUUGGCACCUCGAUGUCGGCUCAUCACAUCCUGGGGCUGUAGUCGGUCCCAAGGGUAUGGCUGUUCGCCAUUUAAAGUGGUACGUGAGCUGGGUUUAAAACGUCGUGAGACAGUUUGGUCCCUAUCUGCAGUGGGCGUUGGAAGUUUGACGGGGGCUGCUCCUAGUACGAGAGGACCGGAGUGGACGAACCUCUGGUGUACCGGUUGUAACGCCAGUUGCAUAGCCGGGUAGCUAAGUUCGGAAGAGAUAAGCGCUGAAAGCAUCUAAGCGCGAAACUCGCCUGAAGAUGAGACUUCCCUUGCGGUUUAACCGCACUAAAGGGUCGUUCGAGACCAGGACGUUGAUAGGUGGGGUGUGGAAGCGCGGUAACGCGUGAAGCUAACCCAUACUAAUUGCCCGUGAGGCUUGACUCUAU
rnacentral:rRNA from 1 species